rnacentral:rRNA from 1 species
AUGGACUCGCGUCCCAUUAGCUAGUUGGUGAGGUAACGGCCCACCAAGGCGACGAUGGGUAGCCGACCUGAGAGGGUGAUCGGCCACACUGGAACUGAGACACGGUCCAGACUCCUACGGGAGGCAGCAGUGGGGAAUAUUGGGCAAUGGGCGCAAGCCUGACCCAGCAACGCCGCGUGAGGGAAGAAGGUCUUCGGAUUGUAAACCUCUGUCCUUGGGGAAGAAAGAAAUGACGGUACCAUUGGAGGAAGCCCCGGCUAACUACGUGCCAGCAGCCGCGGUAAUACGUAGGGGGCUAGCGUUGUCCGGAAUUACUGGGCGUAAAGGGUGCGUAGGUGGCUUUAUAAGCGUGAGGUGAAAGGCAAUGGCUCAACUUGGGAACUGCAUUAGUGACUGUAAGACUUGAGUGCAGGAGAGGAAAGUGGAAUUCCUAGUGUAGCGGUGAAAUGCGUAGAUAUUAGGAGGAACACCAGUGGCGAAGGCGGCUUUCUGGACUGUAACUGACACUGAGGCACGAAAGCGUGGGGAGCAAACAGGAUUAGAUACCCUGGUAGUCCACGCCGUAAACGAUGGAUACUAGGUGUCGGGGCCGCAAGGUUUCGGUGCCGCAGUUAACGCAUUAAGUGCUCCGCCUGGGGAGUACGCACGCAAGUGUGAAACUCAAAGGAAUUGACGGGGACCCGCACAAGCAGCGGAGCAUGUGGUUUAAUUCGAAGCAACGCGAAGAACCUUACCAAGGCUUGACAUCCCUUGACCGCCAUGGAAACAUGGUUUCCCUUCGGGGCAAGGAGACAGGUGGUGCAUGGUUGUCGUCAGCUCGUGUCGUGAGAUGUUGGGUUAAGUCCCGCAACGAGCGCAACCCUUAUCAUUAGUUGCCAGCGGGUAAUGCCGGGAACUCUAAUGAGACUGCCGGGGAUAACUCGGAGGAAGGUGGGGACGACGUCAAAUCAUCAUGCCCCUUAUGUCUUGGGCUACACACGUGCUACAAUGGCCGGUACAAAGGGCUGCAAACCCGCAAGGGGGAGCGAAUCCCAUAAAGCCGGUCUCAGUUCGGAUCGUGGGCUGCAACCCGCCCACGUGAAGCCGGAGUUGCUAGUAAUCGCGAAUCAGCAUGUCGCGGUGAAUGCGUUCCCGGGUCUUGUACACACCGCCCGUCACACCAUGGGAGUUGGGAGCGCCCGAAGCCAGUGAGCUAACCGCAAGGAGGCAGCUGUCGAAGGCGAGAUCAAUGACUGGGGUGAAGUCGUAACAAGGUAACC